UGCAAGUAGCCUCUGCUCCACCGCCUCUUCACCUGCAAGCAUUAAACGAGAGUGGACAGAAAGCAAAUAGCAUGUAAAUGGCUAUUUAAAGCCAAAUCUAAAACCUUUGUACAUUCGGCACAAAAGAGAAAUGAAAAAGGAAGCAUUUUGAUUUUAAAACAAAAAAUCAGUGAUUCAAAAAACACAAACCAGCCAAUCGAAGAAAAAAACUAAAU
rnacentral:lncRNA from 1 species